UGUCCACUAAUAAGUUAGUGACAGGUGUGAAGAAUAGUACUGUCCUUCGCCCAUGUUUUCAGGUAGUGGAAGGAAUGUUUGAUUUGUACCAUGUACUAUUUGAUCAUGUAUCCACUUUGAUAUUAUCUUCAAAUUUAUUGAAUUCUGAUGAAAAUUUGAUGAAGCAUGAAAAGAAGAAACACAAAGCUGAAAUCAUAAUCUUUAGUCAGAACCUUGACCACGUUUGGCUUAAAAUCUUCAGAUUCUUUAGCUAAGUAACAAAACUUC
rnacentral:lncRNA from 1 species